UACGGAGGGUGCAAGCGUUAUCCGGAUUCACUGGGUUUAAAGGGUGCGUAGGUGGUCUGUUAAGUCAGCGGUGAAAGCCUGGAGCUCAACUCCAGAAUUGCCAUUGAUACUGACGGACUUGAAUCAAGUUGAGGUGGAUGGAAUAUUACAUGUAGCGGUGAAAUGCUUAGAUAUGUAAUAGAACACCGAUUGCGAAGGCAGUUCACUAAGCUUGCAUUGACACUGAGGCACGAAAGCGUGGGAUCAAACAGG
rnacentral:rRNA from 1 species